AAUGAACGCUGGCGGCGUGCUUAACACAUGCAAGUCGAACGGUGAAGGCGGAGCUUGCUCUGCUGGAUCAGUGGCGAACGAGUGAGUAACACGUGAGCAAUCUGCCCCUGACUCUGGGAUAAGCGCUGGAAACGGCGUCUAAUACUGGAUACGAGCUGCGAAGGCAUCUUCAGCAGCUGGAAAGAAUUUCGGUCAGGGAUGAGCUCGCGGCCUAUCAGCUUGUUGGUGAGGUAAUGGCUCACCAAGGCGUCGACGGGUAGCCGGCCUGAGAGGGUGACCGGCCACACUGGGACUGAGACACGGCCCAGACUCCUACGGGAGGCAGCAGUGGGGAAUAUUGCACAAUGGGCGAAAGCCUGAUGCAGCAACGCCGCGUGAGGGACGACGGCCUUCGGGUUGUAAACCUCUUUUAGCAGGGAAGAAGCGAAAGUGACGGUACCUGCAGAAAAAGCGCCGGCUAACUACGUG
rnacentral:rRNA from 1 species